rnacentral:rRNA from 1 species
AUUGAACGCUGGCGGCAGGCCUAACACAUGCAAGUCGAGCGAGCGGCGGACGGGUGAGUAAUUUCUGGGAAACUGCCUGAUGGAGUGGGCUAACUACUGGAAACGGUAGCUAAUACCGCAUACCAUCAGAUGUGCCCAGGUGUGCUUAGCUAGGGGGUGGGGUAACGGCUCACCUAGGCGACGAUCCCUAGCUGGUCUGAGAGGAUGACCAGCCACCCGGGAACGGAGACACGGUCCAGACUACACCGGGAGGCAGGGGAGGGGAAUAUUGCACAAGGGGCGCAGGCCUGGUGCAGCCAUGCCGCGUGUGUGAAGAAGGGCUGCGGGUUGUAAAGCACUUUCAGCGGGGAGGAGUUACCAGAAGAAGAAGCACCGGCUAACUCCGUGCCAGCAGCCGCGGUAAUAC